GAAAUGCGAUAAGUAAUGUGAAUUGCAGAAUUCAGUGAAUCAUCGAAUCUUUGAACGCACAUUGCGCCCGCCAGCACUCUGGCGGGCAUGCCUGUUCGAGCGUCAUUUCAACCCUCAGAACCCCUUGCGGGAUCUGGCGUUGGGGAUUGGCAUCCAGCCAGCCCCGAAAUCCAGUGGCGGUCCCUCCGCGACCUCCCCUGUGCAGUAGCGAUACCUCGCAGCGGGACAGCGGUCUGACCACGCCGUAAAACCCCCAACCUCUCAAGGUUGACCUCGAAUCAGGUAGGAAUACCCGCUGAACUUAAGC
rnacentral:misc_RNA from 1 species